AGGGGAAAAAAACUGACAGGUCUAGUGGCUACCCAGUAAAUCACGCAAAUAUUCGUCAACUUUUACUCCGGUGGAGGAAACGAUGACGGGAGCCAAGGGAAACGCGAUCCGCUGGUUCCGAGGGAAUUUAGAAGCCAGUGACGACGGACGAUCAGUAGAAGCAGACAACUAGAGAACAAAUAGUGACAGGGAAGGACCGGAGCAGGUUGGAAACUUCGUUCUCCUCCAAACUUGUGAAAACCCUCUAAUGGUUCCUGAUGAUGGAAUUAUAAUGAAACUAGCUGUUUUAGUAAGAGUAUAAAGUGCAGUUUUUCAGCUGCCUUUUUGGUUCCGUGGCUCUGUUUCCGCUCCGGCGAAGCGCUCACUGUGUCUGGGUUGCUGGCUAUGGGUGCAUGCCGGAAGCUGACAGUGGUGGUGAGCGGGAUUGUGGAGUCGGAAGGGAAGAGGAGGGGGCGAGGGCUAAGGACUAUGCAGGCGGUAGGGCUUCUUGUCGGGGGAGUUAGGUCGAUUGGAGCUACGGAAUCACGAAAGCUGCGUUGGACUUCAUAAACGCUUGAAGUUAUUGCGAUUGAUGUUGAGUUAUUGAGCCAGUGUUUUAGUCUCAGUUGUUUGUGCUGCUCUUUGUUCAAUUGGAAGGAUGGGCUUUGAGCUGAGGGAGGCGCUGAGGCGACUUUGCGUCGAUAUUGGGUGGUCGUAUGCUGUCUUCUGGAGGGCGGUCGGCUUUCCAAGUCCAAAGCAUUUGGUCUGGGAUGAUGGACAUUGGCAUGGAAAGGUGCAGCUUUCAACAAGUGAUGAUGUGAAUUCUCAUGUUAAUUCUUUAACCGAAGUCACCGAAUUUCAAUCAUCAGGACUGUGCAGCAUAGAUGAGCUGGUUAAGAAGACCAUGGUACCACAGGUCCAUGUUAUAGGAGUUGGGAUAGUCGGGCAAGCUGCCUAUACAGGAAACCAUCUUUGGAUUCUUAGAAAUAUUACCGGUGACAAUGAAUCCUCAUUUCAGCAUUUUACUGAUGUAAAUAACGAAUUUUUGGCUGGAAUUCAGACAAUUGUUGUCAUUCCAGUAUUCCCUCAUGGUGUCGUGCAAUUAGGUUCGACUAUUAGUGUAAUGGAGAAUCUUUUGUUUGUAAACCAUGCGAGGAAUUCAUUUAUGCAGUUGACAGUUAAACCGGGAUCUUCUAUUCAUGGUCCCACCCAAAACGCCUUUGGUCAGAGCAGUCUUCAACGCCCAUCUAUCAGCCCAGCAACUUCUGAUUACCUAUUUAGAGAUAAUUGCAGCAAUGUUGACAGAUCCUUGUCUAUGAAAUGGAACAAUCAGCUUUCCAUCUCUUCAGCUACAAGAUCAUUGAGCCACAAUUCUUCUUCUUUGUCCGCUCAGAUUAAGGAAAAAAUGUCAAAAGUUGAUGCAGAAGGGCUGUCAAACAAGAAAAAUGCGGGUGUUGCAUCGGUGCCUGUUGCUGAGUUAGGUCAGCCUAUGGUUCAUCAAGCAGGAAACACUCUUUUUCAUCUUAAUAAACACUUAGUAAAUGAACUAGUGGGGGCUCAGGUGACAUCUAAUAAGGAUAUGAUUUCAUUUAGUAGGAUGCCUGCUACUUUAAGUAGUUUAUCUUUCAGGGAACAGAACCUUCUCUCUGAGUGUCAUAACAGAACUCAGGAGCCUGCUAUUGCCAUCAAGGCUUCAGUUGAUGGUAUGUUCGGAGAUUUUGACGCUGAUUCUCUACUUGAAAAAAAUGAACCAAUGGAUAUUGCAAAGGAUAUGGAAAGAUUGGCUUCAGCUUCAUCUUGCACUUCAGAGAUUGUCCUCACUCAUAGUAAUGUUUCUUGUGCCAAUCACCUGGGCAAGAUUCGGGAUUUGAACUCUUUGAAUGGAAAUCAAUCAAUUUCAAUAAAUUCUUACUCAGUAAGUUCAUCCAAAAGAUCUCAAGGAGUUUCAAUGCCCGGCAAUCUUAGGCAUGGGAAUGGUUUGGCACAUGCAUCAGGCGUUUCAUCCAGUUCUUGUGGGUUGUCAUUGAUUGGCCUUCAAGAAUGUCAGUUCAGCCAAGACAUUAAAAAUACAGACUUUCAUGAUGAGAGUUGCAAGGUUCAGAAGUUGCAUAAAAUUUGUGCUGAGAAUGAUUCCAGCUUUAUUUUUAUGCCAAAUGAGAAAUCUUUAUCCUUCUCUCAACUGGCCAAUUCAGGGGAUGAUCUGUUUGACGUGUUGGGCCUUUAUACCGGUUUGGAUAGAGAUAAGUCUUGCGAGCAGCAAUUCACAGCAGAUAUUCCUCCUUGCAGUUGCCAAUUGGACCUUUCCCCAAUAUUUUACCCCGUUGAUGAUAAUAUAUCUUGCACUGAGGUUUUCUCAGAAUCCAAUACUGAUCAACUAUUGGAUGCGGUUGUCUCAAGUAUCUACCAAGGUGGCAGACAUAGCUUACAUGAGAAUCCAUCUUGGAAAGCAUCAGAGACAAAACUAAGUGGCUCAUCAAUUCCUUGUGCUUCUAGUAAUGAUUGGUCUACUUCAUCUGGACAGAAGCAAGGAGAUUAUAUUUCUUCUUCUAUGGUAAAAAGUAAUACAGAGGCAACCGGUUCAGCUUGUGUGAGGACAGCAGAUAGUGUUGAUGAAACUGAAAGGCCUGGUUAUAAUAAAUCCCAUGCUAGUUUAUGGGUUGAAAGUGGGAAAAACAGGAGUAGUGAUAACUUAUUUGAAUCACAUGGUAAAAUGAUUGAUGAAUCAAGUAAGCUUCAUCGAAAGAGAGCAAGGCCUGGAGAGACCCCACGACCUAGGCCUAAAGACCGCCAGUUGAUAAUGGACCGUGUCAAGGAAUUAAGGGAAAUUGUGCCAAGUGGGGCAAAGUGUAGUAUCGAUGCUUUAUUGGAAAAGACCAUCAAGCACAUGCUUUUCCUGCAGAGUGUAUCCAAGCAUGCAGAUAAACUGAAGAAAACUGGAGAACCUAAGAUCGUCAGGAAGGAUGGCGUAGUGGCUUUGAAAGAGAUUUUUCAGAGUGGUGCAAAAUGUGCAUUUGAAGUUGGUUCUCAAAUUAUGACAUGCCCAAUCAUAGUUGAGGAUCUUAAUCCACCUCGUGAAAUGCUUGUGGAGAUGCUUUGUGAGGAACGUGGCCUCUUCUUGGAGAUAGCUGAUCUGAUCAGAGGAAUAGGACUGACCAUCCUGAAGGGAGUAAUGGAAGCUCGUAGAGACAAUAUAUGGGCGCGUUUUGCAGUGGAGGCAAACAGGGAUGUGACAAGGAUGGAGAUAUUUUGUUCUCUUGUUCAUCUGCUUGAACCAACUACUGCACAUUCUAUGCAUAACAGCAAAAUGUCCCAAAAAAGAUUCAACCUGCCUUGUGUUCCUGCAACCGGCGCAUCUGAUCCUCUUCAGUAAGGAGUUUACUUAAUUGUACCUCUUCAAGCUCUGGAAAUGCUGAGAGCAGGUAUGUCAUCAGCUGCCAUGACUAGCAUUCCAGUGGCUUUCUUAUGCAAUUUGACUUGUUAUGAAGAUCAUUAGUGGCUUGAGUAUACUGCAGUAGAUGGCUAGUGCUUUCAUUUGAGUGGCCAUGAGAUGACAAUUGGUAUAAAAGAAGCUGAAUGUGGUGACUUGUUGCACAAAUAUAAAUGUGAAGGAUAUUCAAAAUAUAAAUGUGAAGGGGAAUGAGGUGGGAUUCAGAGAGAGAGAGAGAGGACUGCAGUGUUUGAAGAUCCAAAGAACGGAAGCAUCUCUUGAGCAGAAUGGUCAUAUGCAGGAGAAAUUAUUACGUGCGGAGUCCGAAUGUAUCUGAACUGCAGUGUUUGAAGAUUCAAAGAACAGAAUAGUCUCUCGAGUAGAUUGGUCAUAAGCGGGAGAAAUUAAUACAUGCGGACUCCGAAUGCAUUUGGACUCUAAUAAAAUAUAGUCACAUGAUUCAUAUACAAGUCACAUGAUUCUAUUCCAUUGGAGUCCGGAUGCAAGCUAUGUUCAAAUACCACAUGUAAUAAUUUCUCUAUAAGAGGGCAGGGUUUCCAUGACUUUUUCUUUUGAUAUAAAUCUGAUUAUUGGUAAUUGCUAUGA